CUCCAGAGGAUCUUUCCAACCCAGGAAUAGAACUGGGGUCUCCUGCAUUGCAGGCAGAUUCUUUACCAGAUGAGCUAUCAAGGAAGCCCCAGUCCAUUUAAAAAUAAAUCACUUUAGUCAUGUCCAACUCUUUGCACCUCUAGACCAUAGCCCGCCAGGCUCCUCUAUCCAUCUGAUUCUCCAGGCAAGAAUACUGGAGUAAAUUGCUAUGCCCUCCUCCAGGGGAUCUUUCCAAUCCAAGGACUGAACCCACAUCUCUUAAGUCUCCUGCAUUGGCAGAUCACCUUGAUCUCCAGAGAUUCCAUCAACUGAGCAAGUUUGAGCACCAUCACCAUAGUGGCUCAGAUGUAAAGAAUUUGCCUGCAGUGUAGGAGACCUGGGUUUGAUCCCUCAGUUAAGAAAGAUCCCUUGGAGAUGUGAAUGGCCACCCACUCCAGUAUUCUUGCCUGGAAAAUCCCAUGGACAGAGGAGCCUGGCAAGCUACAGUCCGCAGGGUCCAAAGAGUCAGAAACAACUAACACUUCCACUUUCACUCUAGUGAAUAUCAAACUAUGGAUUAUUUCAUUUCUAUGUCUAAAUUUGGAUUAAGUUAUUAAGAAAUUCCAAGUGAAGUAGCCUUGAAAAAAUGCAGGGUACAUACGUUAGCAUCCAAUCUAAAACUAUCUAGAACAUUCUCAGAGAAGAAUGAGGAAUAGUGAAUUAGAACUAGACUUUUGUGGUAACCUUUAACUUUAUAAGAACUUUACAGAAGACCAUUAUGGACUAAAUUAUGGGGACAAUUCAAAGCAUCAGAAUAGUCUUGUGGUGGAGCAUGUGAACCAUUCCAACCUGCUCCCAGAAAUAUGUUACAACUCUGUCACUAUCCUGGAAUGCAGGGGUGAGAUAAAAUGUGAAGACUUUAUAUGAAAUAUCAGUUGGCAUUUAAAAACAGAAGUAUGUGUAUAUUCAGAAGAAAAAAAGCAUAUGAUUGGUUAUGGACAUUCAGAAGUGUAUCACUUUUUAAAUAGCCUCCUCUGUGGUCAUCUUUUUAAUUCCUUUUACAAAAAUAACUGUAAAAUUAGAGGGAAUUAAUUUAUAUUUAGUUCAUUAUCGGCAACACCUUAGUCUAAUAUCCUUUGCCAGAUAUGAAGAGGAUAUAUCUUUCCUUUAUAUAUUUAUUAUGAAUAAAUAUAUUAUAGCUAGUUUUCCACUUUUAUGGAUGCUUUGAGUUCAAAGCUAUGGUAUCAUAUAUAAAAUAUUAUAAUUAUUCAAUAAACCCUCACUAAAAUUAUACCCAUAUUCUAUUUUAAAACUGAGAUAAAAUCUUAGGCUCUGUGAACUGUAUUACAUUAAUGAACUUUCUUCAAGGUCCAAGGUUUUCUAAAUCUGUUUUAAUUCAUACCAAUAACUGGAGAGGUUUUUCGAAGAAGUUACAUAUAUCUGCAAAAUGAAGUGUUGGGUCUGUGACCCACUGCUUAAAUGCCC
ensembl:lncRNA